UCACUGAAAAUUUUUCUUUCUCUGCAUUUAUUUUUCUCUCAAAAUAAAAUCAAAGUGUCGAUCAACUGAGUCUGUGUGACUUGUUGCUGUUCUUCAGUUCGCUGAAGUUAUAGAAGUUUGAGGUACCGUUAUUUCUUUAACAGGUUUAAUCUGUUUUAUCUUGGGAGAAAUUAAUCCAUAACCUUAGGUACAAUGAGGGGAUUAAAUUUCUUAAGGACACACAGUAGUUUCUGUGGACUCGGAUUAAUUCUUGUAUUUUAAAUUUUUUCUGCUUCAUCUUGUUUCUGUUUCUGUUUAUUAACUUCAUAAAUACAAGUUAUUGUAAGAAUAACUGUUUGACAUAGUGAUUGAGUUGUGUAUUGUAUUCAUUGAUCCCUAAAAUAGAUAAAAGUUAAAAUUUUCCAGCCGUAUGUAAAAGUUGGUACCUAUGAAAAAUGUGUGAAAUUUGAGUCCUUGUAGAUGUCGAUGGACCUGUUGUAAUAUGAAAGUGCUACUUAUAGUCCCUCAUUUUUUGAGAUCUUCUUUUAGAAAAAUUCAACACUCAAUUGCAGAAGUUAUGGGAAAGAUUGAAUAAGCAUCAAUAUAUAUGGUGGAAUAGGAUCCUCUUAUUCUCAAAGUUAUCACACUAAUGCAAAAACUUAACAUCAAAUUCAAAAGUACAAGUAUGAAAUACACACACACAAAAAAAAAUAAAAAAAGGAAGUAGUAACAAGGCUUAAUUACUAUGAUGAUUAGAUCUAGUAACGCGACAAUGCAGAAGUUCCAUCAGCACCUCUAUUAAGGAUGUAAUUAGUGUGGUCUUUCACUGUGGUGGCACGAUAUUUGGAGGAUUAUCUUCUGACAAAAAUUCAGUAAUCGGCCCAUAAAGUUUGGAAGAUUCCACAUGACUUUCACGGAAGAAGCACGCAACUGACGUUCUUGAUCCAUCUCUGUUUGAAAUUGCUCUGUGCUCAGCACUUAAGUACUUCCAUUCGACAGGAGUUGCAAGGCGUUUGAAAAUGUUUAGUAUAACUUUUAAAGGGAAAAGGGUUUGAUAUAGCCCUCAACUUUGUCAUUUGGAGUUAAUAUAAAAAAAAAAAA
rnacentral:lncRNA from 1 species